UACGAAGGGGGCUAGCGUUGCUCGGAAUCACUGGGCGUAAAGCGCACGUAGGCGGACUCUUAAGUCGGUGGUGAAAUCCUGGAGCUCAACUCCAGAACUGCCUUCGAUACUGAGAGUCUCGAGUCCGGAAGAGGAAAGUGGAAUUCCUGGUGUAGCGGUGAAAUGCGCAGAUAUCAGGAAGAACACCCGUGGCGAAGGCGGCUUUCUGGGACGGUACUGACGCUGAGACGCGAAAGCGUGGGGAGCGAACAGG
rnacentral:rRNA from 1 species